CCUACGGGUGGCAGCAGUGGGGAAUAUUGCACAAUGGAGGGAACUCUGAUGCAGCGACGCCGCGUGAGUGAAGAAGUAAUUCGUUAUGUAAAGCUCUUUCUGCAGGGAAGAAAGUGACGGUACCUGAAAAAGACGCUCCGGCCAAAUACGGGCCAGUAGCCGCGGUACUACGUAUGGAGCCAGCGUUAUCCGGAUUUACGGGGUGUAAAGGGAGAGUAGGUGGCAGAGCAAGUCCGGAGUGAAAACCUAAAGCUCAACUAUGGGAGUGCUUUAGAAACUGCUCAGCUAGAGUGCAGGAGAGGCAAGUGGAAUGCGUAGUGUAGCGGGGAAAUGCGUAGAUAUUAGGAGGAACGCCAGUGGCGAAGGCGGCUUGCUGGACUGUAACUGACGCUGAGGCUCGAAAGCGUGGGGAGCAAACAGGAUUAGAUACCCUUGUAGUC
rnacentral:rRNA from 1 species